UACGUAGGGUGCAAACGUUAUCCGGAUUUAUUGGGCGUAAAGAGUUCGUAGGCGGAUUGGUAAGUUGGAUAUUAAAGACCCGGGCCUAACUCGGGGAGUGUAUCCAAAACUACCACUCUUUGAGGUAUGUAGGGGAGAAUGGAACUUACGGUGUAGCGGUGGAAUGCGUAGAUAUCGUAAGGAACGCCAAUGGUGAAGACAGUUCUCUGGACACCACCUGACGCUGAGGAACGAAAGCGUGGGUAGCGAU
rnacentral:rRNA from 1 species